GAUGAACGCUGGCGGCGUGCCUAAUACAUGCAAGUCGAGCGAACAGACGAGGAGCUUGCUCCUCUGACGUUAGCGGCGGACGGGUGAGUAACACGUGGAUAACCUACCUAUAAGACUGGGAUAACUUCGGGAAACCGGAGCUAAUACCGGAUAAUAUAUUGAACCGCAUGGUUCAAUAGUGAAAGACGGUUUUGCUGUCACUUAUAGAUGGAUCCGCGCCGCAUUAGCUAGUUGGUAAGGUAACGGCUUACCAAGGCAACGAUGCGUAGCCGACCUGAGAGGGUAAUCGGCCACACUGGAACUGAGACACGGUCCAGACUCCUACGGGAGGCAGCAGUAGGGAAUCUUCCGCAAUGGGCGAAAGCCUGACGGAGCAACGCCGCGUGAGUGAUGAAGGUCUGCGGAUCGUAAAACUCUGUUAUUAGGGAAGAACAAAUGUGUAAGUAACUAUGCACGUCUUGACGGUACCUAAUCAGAAAGCCACGGCUAACUACGU
rnacentral:rRNA from 1 species